rnacentral:rRNA from 1 species
AACGAACGCUGGCGGCAUGCCUAACACAUGCAAGUCGAACGCCCCGCAAGGGGAGUGGCGAACGGGUGAGUAACGCGUGGGAACCUACCCAGCAGUUGGGGAUAACCGCGGGAAACUGCGGCUAAUACCGAAUACGUCCUUAGGGAGAAAGAUUUAUCGCUGUUGGAGGGGCCCGCGUCGGAUUAGCUAGUUGGUGAGGUAACGGCUCACCAAGGCGACGAUCCGUAGCUGGUCUGAGAGGAUGAUCAGCCACACUGGGACUUAGACACGGCCCAGACUCCUACGGGAGGCAGCGGUGGGGAAUAUUGGACAAUGGGGGCAACCCUGAUCCAGCAAUGCCGCGUGAGUGAUGAAGGCCUUAGGGUUGUAAAGCUCUUUUACCGGGGACGAUGAUGACGGUACCCGGAGAAUAAGCCCCGGCUAACUUCGUGCCAGCAGCCGCCGUAA